UACAGAGGAGCCAAGCGUUGUUCGGAAUUACUGGGCGUAAAGGGCGCGUAGGCGGCCUUCUAAGUCAGACGUGAAAUCCCCAGGCUUAACUUGGGAACUGCGUCUGAUACUGGGAGGCUUGAGUGCGGGAGAGGGAUGUGGAAUUCCAGGUGUAGCGGUGAAAUGCGUAGAUAUCUGGAGGAACACCGGUGGCGAAGGCGGCAUCCUGGACCGACACUGACGCUGAGGCGCGAAAGCUAGGGGAGCAAACGGG
rnacentral:rRNA from 1 species